rnacentral:rRNA from 1 species
AGAGUUUGAUCCUGGCUCAGGAUGAACGCUGACAGAAUGCUUAACACAUGCAAGUCAACUUGAAUUUGGGUUUUUAACUUAGAUUUGGGUGGCGGACGGGUGAGUAACGCGUAAAGAACUUGCCUCACAGCUAGGGACAACAUUUAGAAAUGAAUGCUAAUACCUAAUAUUAUGAUAAUAGGGCAUCCUAUAAUUAUGAAAGCUAUAUGCGCUGUGAGAGAGCUUUGCGUCCCAUUAGCUAGUUGGAGAGGUAACGGCUCACCAAGGCGAUGAUGGGUAGCCGGCCUGAGAGGGUGAACGGCCACAAGGGGACUGAGACACGGCCCUUACUCCUACGGGAGGCAGCAGUGGGGAAUAUUGGACAAUGGACCGAGAGUCUGAUCCAGCAAUUCUGUGUGCACGAUGAAGUUUUUCGGAAUGUAAAGUGCUUUCAGUUGGGAAGAAAGAAAUGACGGUACCAACAGAAGAAGUGACGGCUAAAUACGUGCCAGCAGCCGCGGUAAUACGUAUGUCACGAGCGUUAUCCGGAUUUAUUGGGCGUAAAGCGCGUCUAGGUGGUUAUGUAAGUCUGAUGUGAAAAUGCAGGGCUCAACUCUGUAUUGCGUUGGAAACUGCAUGACUAGAGUACUGGAGAGGUAAGCGGAACUACAAGUGUAGAGGUGAAAUUCGUAGAUAUUUGUAGGAAUGCCGAUGGGGAAGCCAGCUUACUGGACAGAUACUGACGCUAAAGCGCGAAAGCGUGGGUAGCAAACAGGAUUAGAUACCCUGGUAGUCCACGCUGUAAACGAUGAUUACUAGGUGUUGGGGGUCGAACCUCAGCGCCCAAGCAAACGCGAUAAGUAAUCCGCCUGGGGAGUACGUACGCAAGUAUGAAACUCAAAGGAAUUGACGGGGACCCGCACAAGCGGUGGAGCAUGUGGUUUAA